rnacentral:rRNA from 2 species
GCAGUCGAGCGGAUUGAUGGGAGCUUGCUCCCUGAUAUCAGCGGCGGACGGGUGAGUAACACGUGGGUAACCUGCCUGUAAGACUGGGAUAACUCCGGGAAACCGGGGCUAAUACCGGAUAACUCAUUUCCUCGCAUGAGGAAAUGUUGAAAGAUGGCUUCUUGCUAUCACUUACAGAUGGACCCGCGGCGCAUUAGCUAGUUGGUGAGGUAACGGCUCACCAAGGCAACGAUGCGUAGCCGACCUGAGAGGGUGAUCGGCCACACUGGGACUGAGACACGGCCCAGACUCCUACGGGAGGCAGCAGUAGGGAAUCUUCCGCAAUGGACGAAAGUCUGACGGAGCAACGCCGCGUGAGUGAUGAAGGUUUUCGGAUCGUAAAGCUCUGUUGUUAGGGAAGAACAAGUGCCGUUCGAAUAGGGCGGCACCUUGACGGUACCUAACCAGAAAGCCACGGCUAACUACGUGCCAGCAGCCGCGGUAAUACGUAGGUGGCAAGCGUUGUCCGGAAUUAUUGGGCGUAAAGCGCGCGCAGGUGGUUUCUUAAGUCUGAUGUGAAAGCCCACGGCUCAACCGUGGAGGGUCAUUGGAAACUGGGGAACUUGAGUGCAGAAGAGGAAAGUGGAAUUCCAAGUGUAGCGGUGAAAUGCGUAGAUAUUUGGAGGAACACCAGUGGCGAAGGCGACUUUCUGGUCUGUAACUGACACUGAGGCGC